UAAGACCGUGUGUGAUCCCAUGAUCAG
rnacentral:piRNA from 1 species